AUCAUGGAAUCUUCAUUCCUGCGGAUGGCAGAGAAGGGCAUAGCCUCACACAGUGAUCUGUUGCUUCAUGAAAUCAUGGCAGGCUGGUUAGCUUCUUUGCCGUAAGUGUAGUUUGGUAAGGUGCCAUCUGAAAUUAACACCGAGACCUUCUAAUAUGCUAUUGACCCAGCCAGUCUGCAGGGGCUGCACAGGGUGGUGUUGUGAGGAAAAUAUGGAGGAGAGAUCUCUUCACACAAUUUCCACCGUUACUGUCUGUUUUUGCUGAGAAAAUGGACAUGGAUAUAAGGCAAAGGUGAUGUUCAUUUUGAGGUUGAGAAUAAUUUUAUUGGUAUGAGGAGCUGGAGGAUGUGGCACUGUGAUGAUGUCAGUGUUGUCUUCGCUUGUUCACUGAUCGUUACAUUUGUGAUUUUUGGAUUUUCCUUUUGA